rfam:Tulasnella calospora MTT 4182 unplaced genomic scaffold scaffold_34, whole genome shotgun sequence.
AGGCUUGUAGCUUAACGGUAAAGCACACACAUACUCUCUUGUUGUAUGGAGGUUCAAAUCCUCCCGAGUCUA